rnacentral:rRNA from 1 species
UACGUAGGGACCAAGCGUUGUUCGGAUUUACUGGCCGUAAAGGGCGCGUAGGCGGCAAUUCAAGUCAGUUGUGAAAUCUCCGAGCUUAACUCGGAACGGUCAACUGAUACUGCUUUGCUAGAGUGCAGAAAGGGCAACCGGAAUUCUUGGUGUAGCGGUGAAAUGCGUAGAUAUCAAGAGGAACACCUGAGGCGAAGGCGGGUUGCUAGGCUGACACUGACGCUGAAGCGCGAAAGCUAGGGUAGCAAACGGG